AUUGAACGCUGGCGGCAGGCCUAACACAUGCAAGUCGAGCGAGCGACGGACGGGUGAGUAAUGUCUGGGAAACUGCCUGAUGGAGGGGGAUAACUACUGGAAACGGUAGCUAAUACCGCAUACCAUCAGAUGUGCCCAGAUGGGAUUGGCUAGUAGGUGGGGUAACGGCUCACCUCGGCGACGAUCCCUAGCUGGUCUGAGAGGAUGACCAGCAACACGGGAACUGAGACACGGUCCAGAAUCCUACGGAGGGCAGCAGAGGGGAAUAUUGCACAAUGGGCGCAAGCCUGAUGCAGCCAUGCCGCGUGUGUGAAGAAGGCCUUCGGGUUGGAAAGCACUUUCAGCGGGGAGGCGUUACCCGCAGAGGAAGCACCGGCUAACUCCGUGCCAGCAGCCGCGGUAAUAC
rnacentral:rRNA from 1 species